rfam:Capnocytophaga haemolytica strain CCTG 32990, complete genome.
GGGGUCGACUGGUUUUGACAGUAAGUGUAAUUGAAAUGUAAGCAUACCGAGCUGUGAAAUGAAUGCUCGUUAAAAUCUAUUUCAAAAUUUUUAAAUGGCGAGAAUAACUACGCUCUUGCUGCCUAAUCUGAAGUUUAGUACGAUUACUGGCUAAGUCCUCACAGGGUGAGGAAGCGAGAUGUCUCCGAGCAGCCCUUGUUGACGGCGGCUCAUCAGGAGGCACCAUAAAAGUCAACAUUGAGCUGGAAGUGUAGUUCCUGCUAAUAGCUCAUGAUUUUAAGGGACUGAAGCGCUCAGUGGGCGGCUGCGGGUCAGCUGGGCGACGAAAAUCAAACCGAAGCUAAGUAUGUAGAAAGCAUUUUGAUUGCUUAUUUGGACGAGAGUUCGAUUCUCUCCGACUCCACUA